rnacentral:misc_RNA from 1 species
UGGAUUGAACAGAUAGA